GAUGAAGAACGUAGCGAAAUGCGAUAAGUAAUGUGAAUUGCAGAAUUCAGUGAAUCAUCGAAUCUUUGAACGCACAUUGCGCCCGCUAGUAUUCUGGCGGGCAUGCCUGUCCGAGCGUCAUUUCAACCCUCAAGCCCCCGGGCUUGGUGUUGGGGAUCGGCGAGCCUCCGCGCCCGCCGUCCCCUAAAUCUAGUGGCGGUCUCGCUGUAGCCUCCUCUGCGUAGUAGCACACCUCGCACUGGGAAACAGCGCGGCCACGCCGUUAAACCCCCAACUUCUGAACGUUUGACCUCGGAUCAGGUAGGAAUACCCGCUGAACUUAAGCAUAUCAAUAAGCGGAGGA
rnacentral:misc_RNA from 1 species